GACGAACGCUGGCGGCGUGCCUAAUACAUGCAAGUCGAACGCACUCUCGUUAGAUUGAAGAAGCUUGCUUCUGAUUGAUAACAUUUGAGUGAGUGGCGGACGGGUGAGUAACACGUGGGUAACCUGCCCUAAAGUGGGGGAUAACAUUUGGAAACAGAUGCUAAUACCGCAUAAAACCUAGCACCGCAUGGUGCAAGGUUGAAAGAUGGUUUCGGCUAUCACUUUAGGAUGGACCCGCGGUGCAUUAGUUAGUUGGUGAGGUAAAGGCUCACCAAGACCGUGAUGCAUAGCCGACCUGAGAGGGUAAUCGGCCACACUGGGAUUGAGACACGGCCCAGACUCCUACGGGAGGCAGCAGUAGGGAAUCUUCCACAAUGGACGAAAGUCUGAUGGAGCAACGCCGCGUGAGUGAAGAAGGUUUUCGGAUCGUAAAACUCUGUUGUUGGAGAAGAACGUAUUUGAUAGUAACUGAUCAGGUAGUGACGGUAUCCAACCAGAAAGCCACGG
rnacentral:rRNA from 1 species